GACGAACGCUGGCGGCGUGCUUAACACAUGCAAGUCGAACGGAAAGGCCCUGCUUUUGUGGGGUGCUCGAGUGGCGAACGGGUGAGUAACACGUGAGUAACCUGCCCUUGACUUUGGGAUAACUUCAGGAAACUGGGGCUAAUACCGGAUAGGAGCUCCUGCUGCAUGGUGUGGGUUGGAAAGUUUCGGCGGUUGGGGAUGGACUCGCGGCUUAUCAGCUUGUUGGUGGGGUAGUGGCUUACCAAGGCUUUGACGGGUAGCCGGCCUGAGAGGGUGACCGGCCACAUUGGGACUGAGAUACGGCCCAGACUCCUACGGGAGGCAGCAGUGGGGAAUCUUGCAGAACGGGCGGAAGCCUGAUGCAGCAACGCCGCGUGCGGGAUGACGGCCUUCGGGUUGUAAACCGAUUUCGCCUGUGACGAAGCGUGAGUGACGGUAAUGGGUAAAGAAGCACCGGCUAACUACGUG
rnacentral:rRNA from 1 species